AGUGAACGCUGGCGGCAGGCCUAACACAUGCAAGUCGAACGGCAGCACAAUAAGCGUUCGCCCUUAAGGGUGGCGACUGGCGGGCGGGUGAGGAAUACAUCAGCUACCACUAUUACUUGGAGGACAACGUAGGGAAACUGACGCUACUACCGCAUAUAUCCAACGGCAUGGAUCAGGAGUGAAAGACACCUUUCCUGUCACAAAUAGACGAAGCCGCAUUAGCUAGUUGGUGAGGUAAGGGCCUACCAAGGCGACGAUCCGUAGCUGACCUGAGAGGAUGAUCGGCCACACUGGAACUGAGACACGGUCCAGACUCCUACGGGAGGCAGCAGUGGGGAAUCUUCGACAAUGGGCGAAAGCCUGACCCAGCCAUGCCGCGUGAGUGAUGAAGGUCUUCGGGUUGUAAAGCCCUUUUAUUGGGAAAGAAAAACUGCGGAAGAAUACCCGGCUGUUCUGACGGUACCUAAACAGAAAGCACCGGCUAACUACGUG
rnacentral:rRNA from 1 species